rnacentral:rRNA from 1 species
UACGAAGGGGGCAAGCGUUGUUCGGAUUCAUUGGGCGUAAAGGGCGUCUAGGUGGCCAGUUAAGUUGGAUGUGGAAGCCCGCAGCUCAACUGCGGAAUUGCAUCCAAAACUGAUUGGCUUGAGUUCAGGAGAAGGGAGCGGAAUUCUCAGUGUAGCGGUGAAAUGCGUAGAUAUUGAGAAGAACACCAGUGGCGAAGGCGGCUCCCUAGACUGAAACUGACACUGAAGCGCGAAAGCCAGGGGAGCGGAACGGG